ACACGACUACAUUAGAUACCCCCGUAGUCCCAGCUGUAAACGAUGCAGACUAGGUGUUUGGACGGCCACGUGCCGUUCUAGUGCCGCAGGGAAGCUGUUAAGUCUGCCACCUGGGGAGUACGAUCGCAAGAUUGAAACUUAAAGGAAUUGGCGGGGGAGCACCACAACGGGUGGAGCUUGCGGUUUAAUUGGAUUCAACGCCGGACAACUCACCAGGAGCGACGGUUACAUGAAGGCCAGGCUGAUGACCUUGCCUGAUUUUCCG
rnacentral:rRNA from 1 species